rnacentral:rRNA from 1 species
AUUGAACGCUGGCGGCAUGCUUUACACAUGCAAGUCGAACGGCAGCACGGACUUCGGUCUGGUGGCGAGUGGCGAACGGGUGAGUAAUACAUCGGAACGUACCCAGUAAUGGGGGAUAACUAUCCGAAAGGAUAGCUAAUACCGCAUACGCCCUACGGGGGAAAGAGGGGGAUCGCAAGACCUCUUGUUAUUGGAGCGGCCGAUGGCUGAUUAGCUAGUUGGUAGGGUAAAGGCCUACCAAGGCAACGAUCAGUAGCGGGUCUUAGAGGACGAUCCGCCACACUGGAACUGCGACACGGUCCAGACUCCUACGGGAGGCAGCAGUGGGGAAUCAUGGACAAUGGGCGCAAGCCUGAUCCAGCAAUGCCGCGUGCGUGAAGAAGGCCUUCGGGUUGCAAAGCGCUUUUGUCAGGGAGCAAAUCCUUGUGGCUAAUACCCACCGGGGAUGAGAGUACCUGAAGAAUAAGGACCGGCUAACUACGUGCCAGCCGCCGCCGUAACAC